rnacentral:rRNA from 1 species
UACGUAGGGUGCGAGCGUUGUCCGGAAUUAUUGGGCGUAAAGAGCUCGUAGGCGGUGUGUCACGUCGGCCGUGAAAACCUGCAGCUUAACUGUGGGCGUGCGGUCGAUACGGGCAUCACUGGAGUUCGGCAGGGGAGACUGGAAUUCCUGGUGUAGCGGUGAAAUGCGCAGAUAUCAGGAGGAACACCAAUAGCGAAGGCAGCUCGCUGGGACGUUACUGACACUGAGGCGCGAAAGCGUGGGGAGCGAACAGG